UUUUCAAGAUCAUACAGCGGAAGACUAAAAUAAAUCAAAAUUUAUUUUUUAAAACCAGAGAAUCCCUAGAUCUAAGAUCCUAUUACAUGAUUAUUACAUAGCAUUAAAUCAAAAAUUAAAAUAUAUAAAUAUAGCAUGAACUACAUGUUGAUCAUAUCAACAUGUUUUUAUACCACAUCUAAUGUAUGUAUUAAACAAUAGAUCAGAUCUAUUACCUUGCAAGUUAGAUGCUCUAACCUCGCUGAUCCGGGCUUAAAGAUGAUGUUGCAAGCCGCACAUGUGUCCGGCCUCUAGGAGUCAUCCACACGAGCCCACGAAUAUCGAUCAGAAGUCCUGCUUCAGGAAAUCAGCACAGUAUGUUAGUACUGCACUGAUCCUUCUUUGAUGGUUGAUCAGGUGCCUCCUUCUUCUUGAUUUGGACUCUUCCAAAGAUGUAAAGUAGAAGGAAG
rnacentral:lncRNA from 1 species